UCUAUCGAUAACUCGGUCACACCGCUGACGGCGUCUUUUUUCAUAAAAAGUGCGGACGCGUCGAAGAAAUUCACGAAAACGAAAAUCACGUUAAAAGCAAUUGCUGCGCGCUUCGAUUCGGUUUUAAUAGUCAUUCCAAAACGCGCGAAUACCCAAAGUGCCUUUGAGCAGUUUACAUUUCCCCACGAGAGCGAAAAAUCGAUUGAAAUAAAAUGGCUGGUGGCAAAGCAGGCAAGGAUUCGGGCAAAGCAAAGGCGAAGGCAGUUUCCCGCUCAGCGCGCGCUGGUCUUCAGUUCCCCGUUGGCCGUAUCCAUCGUCAUCUGAAAAGUCGUACUACAUCCCAUGGACGCGUUGGUGCCACCGCUGCCGUCUACUCCGCUGCCAUAUUGGAAUACUUGACUGCUGAGGUUCUGGAAUUGGCAGGAAAUGCAUCGAAAGAUCUGAAAGUGAAACGUAUCACACCGCGCCACUUACAGCUCGCCAUUCGCGGAGACGAGGAGCUGGACAGUCUGAUCAAGGCAACCAUCGCCGGCGGCGGUGUCAUUCCCCAUAUUCACAAGUCGCUUAUCGGCAAGAAAGAGGACACCGUCCAGGAUCCACAGCGAAAGGGCAAUGUGAUCCUUUCGCAGGCCUACUAACUGCCAAACCCACAUUUGACACCCUCUUUUUUAAAAAAUACGAUGUUUUAAGAUUAAAUUCCGAAGAACCGUGUAGAGAGAUCCAAACUUACCGACGAGGAAAAUCAUAUAUCCGCCCCCAGGCCAACACACACACACACACAACAAAACCCCUCAAGCACCCAAAUCACACAUCCAUAAAAUAUAUACGCGCACGCAUUAUUUUUUAUAAUCUUAAACAAAAAUGUGAAAGGAUAAAAGAAAUGCAAUGAGCGAUCGAAGAUUAUGUAACAGAUGAAUGCGGAAAGUAAAGCAUAGAUAAGUAUAAGCGCC